UAAAAACACAUUACAUACAUUGUUGAGCUCGCAUGACACGGUUCUUAAAGCACCCCUGUGUCUGCCUCGUUGGGAACGGCCGAAUCGGCAGUUUCUUUAGAGCCAGCUCGAGCGAUGCUUCGAGGCACACGUGGGUGGCUCCUGGAGACGUGUGUCUCGAGUUAAUCCCACCCUCUCCCUAAUCCUCAAUCCCCUCUCUCCCUCUACUUCAGAUCCCGUCGAUCUCAUCCGCCAUGGGAGCAGGGCGCGGCGCGGACACGGCAGGGAGCCGAGCGCGGAGCGCGGGUGUGGGCGAGCGCGGCAAGGACGGGCGCCUGCGAGCUCGUCGGCCACAACGUGAGCUACGCCACCCUGCACCAUGUACCAUGUAUGCGUCCUCCAAGUCCGAGUGCUAGCUUCGGGCUCGAGUUCUACAUCGGCGGGAUCCCCAUGGCGUGCACCAUGUACGUGUCCUCUGAGUACUCCUACAUCAUGUUCUAGUUCACCAUGUUCUAGUUCGAGCAUGUCCUUCCGGUGGGAUGGCGCCGACGAGGCCGACCCCCGGGAGGCGUAGCUGAACGAUGGUGGACUGGGCGGCGUCGCACGUGACCCCGACCCAGGCGCAGGCCGGCGUGGAGGUGUUCCAGCCGAGCCUCCGCUCGUGGGGCACGGCCAUGAGGAACGCCAGCAGCGCGGACCGCUCGCUCGGAGGUGGCUCCGCGUAGGCGAGACAUGCGAGCGAUGCGACGGCCGCCAGCAGCACCGCGCGGGACACGACGAUGGCCAUCGCGACGGGCUCGGGCACGUCUAUGAAGAAGGCAUUCGGAGGCAGAGCUGAAGGUGGCUUGCUUUGUUGGGGGAAAUUUUGGGGAGAAGGAAGUGGGAGUGUGCGCGGCGAGGAGCCGCGAGGCGCCGGCGAGCUGGGCGCGGCCACGGUGCCACACAUGGAGGAGUCCAGGUGCCGGGCGCGUCCAUAGUCGCCGGGAGAUGGCGGUGGGCAUGAUGGGCAGAGGAAGCUCCAGCGCACUCAAUGUGUUUGACGAAAUGAGAAGCCAAAUCUGGUGGCUGUUAAGUUUUGUUGUUAGCUCCUAAUCAUAUGCAUGUAUACAACCAAACUCGGGGUGAAAAUUGCAUCUUGAUGACAAGACCCCCAAUGCAGGCAACAAAUCAACUGGUCAUCUACGUUUUUGACCCUGUUUUGGCUCACCCAGGCCCUGCUCAGCCUGGUUGUUUUUCCCCUCUGAGCCAGGCCCGACAGCGAAAGCAACCAAACACGCCCUAGUUGAGGAGCGCUCUUCAUAACAAUUAGUCGACUUGUCGCGCGCGGAGCGCUCGUGAAACUCUUACGGGGAGCUUCGCGCGUGACACUUGUCGCGCGUGAUACUUGUCGCGCGGAGGGGCACUCCGAUGAUUUCCGAUUUUCUUUCUGGUUUUCCCUUUUUCCAGUUUAGUCCUUAAUCUUUUAGUGUUUUCUAAUAGAGUUUUGAUCUGUUUUUAUCUGGUGUCGCUGACCCGUCGUCGCCGACUGGGCUUUCAUUGACGUCCUUGCCGCGCGUCGUGGCCGCCGCUCUUAUCGCCUGCUUAGGGCAACCCUUCUUUACCGUCCAUGGCGCUUCGCCAUUCACACAGGCAUCGUUGUCUACCGCCUUCAUUCGUUGGUUCCCUGUUUCCGGUUUGUUUCCCUUGUUGUUUCCAUUAUAUUUCCGGGCAAUGUAGAUUUAUGGGGUGAUUAUGGGUGGGGGCUUCCAACACUAUCAGAUGUCAACUUUCAACUUGGUUUGUGCAAUUAGUUCUUAAUAUUCAUUGUGUUCUUUGUAGGUAUGGCUUGUCUUUUUUGCCGUAUGCCGAGUGGCCCUUGCUCCUCUUUUGAUUCUUAUGUAGAUGUGUUCAUUGUGGUGCUGGAUCGGCGUUGCUUGAGUCGUGUUUGUUAGAGCUCAUCUUGCUCGUUACAUUCAGUAGUAGGGCUUUAGCCAGAAGGAGGGGUGACAAAGAUACUGAUCUUGCUCUUCACUCCAGUGAGGGUGAUUUGUAUGGUGUUUUGCUUAGUCAUGGUCGGGUGAGCGGCAAAUUCCAUGGUUCUUCCUGGGAAUGAUUGGUAACUGAUUGUGGUCUUCGUCAUCGUGAUAUAAUGACCAUUAGGCUUGAGCACUAUGGAACGUUGAUUGGUGUUGAUUUUUAUAGGGGUGGAGAUAUGUUGUCCCCUUUACCUUCUGUUGGUACAGUUUAUUUUUAAGGAAGUAUUUAGCUUGUUUCAUUUCAGAUAAUUUUCUAUUCCCUUGAACCUGUGGAAUUUUAUUUUGUAGCUCUUGAGGAUUUGAGCGAUUCUAAGAAGGAACUUGUUGGCAGUUGUUUUUACACUUGUGGUGCUGAUCUCAAUUAUCAGCAAAUGUAUUUCAUGUGACGACAACUAUUUGAUGACAACUACAUACUUUUUGUCCUUUUGUUCACAGGAUUAAUUCCAUGAAUGUUAAUGGUCAUCAUAUGGUCAUAUUUAUUUUCCAUUAUUUUUAUUAGUUUCUAUUUAUUUAUUUUUUAUUAUUUCAUCUUUUUAUAGUUUUAAUUUUUGUUUUAUUUCUAAUAGCUUGAUGUUUUUUCAUGUUAUUCCUGGUAUGGUUGUGAGGAGUUUGAAGGGAUUUGUGUCAUUUUCUAGGAGUGGUGUUUUGACUCUUGAAGUUACUUUGGAAUCUCACGAUGAUGAUAUAUAUGUGAGCACUCCUUGUUCCUACUUCAUCAGCUUGGGUGAUAGAAUGGUGUUCAAAAAGCAAGGGUUCGGUGAUUUUCUACAGGCAUCGUCUAUUGAAGUAACCAGCUUGGUGCUCAUAACCUUCAAAGAGCGUGAUGGGAGACUUGUUUUUCUCUCCAGUCUUCUAGCGCAGUGAUGUUAGUUAUAGCCUUUGAAGAGAAUAGAUGUUGUUUAGAAAUCAAUGCUGGAGUAUAAUGUUAUUUGGAUAUAUAAAACCGAUAUGAACCUAACUGUUCAUUGUUGUACUUUGGAUGUAGAAGAGGCAGGGCUAUGCAUCUUUUUUUGAUGUUUUUUGGGAUGUGUGUCAAUUUGUGAGAGGCAUAGUUAUAUAUAAAUUAGAGGCACGUGUGUGCCUUUCUUU